UAGUGUUCCUCAUGGCGAGCAGAUGGCACCAGGAGAAACGGAGCCCCUGGCCAGUGUGAGUCAUACCAGUGCAGGAGGGGAGUCCCUGGAGAAGCCAGCCCACCUAAACUGAUGCCUGCAGAUUGAAAUUACAGAGGUUUAGGAGAAGGAAGCUCUCCA
ensembl:misc_RNA